rnacentral:rRNA from 1 species
CCCUUAGAUGUCCUGGGCCGCACGCGCGCUACACUGACAUGUUCAACAAGCCUCCUAGUUCGACAGGAUUUGGGAAAUCUUUGAACGCAUGUCGUGAUAGGGAUAGAUCAUUGCAAUUAUUAAUCUUGAACGAGGAAUUCCUAGUAAACGCAGAUCAUCAAUCUGCAUUGAUUACGUCCCUGCCCUUUGUACACACCGCCCGUCGCACCUACCGAUUGGAUGGUCCGGUGAAGCCUCGGGAUUGUGGUUCUUGCCGCUUUAUUGUGGCGUGACCGCGAGAACUUGUCUAAACCUUAUCAUCUAGAGGAAGGUGAAGUCGUAACA